rnacentral:rRNA from 1 species
UACGUAGGGUGCAAGCGUUAAUCGGAAUUACUGGGCGUAAAGCGCGCGCAGGCGGCCUUUUAAGUCUGAUGUGAAAGCCCACGGCUCAACCGUGGAAGGUCAUUGGAAACUGAAAGGCUUGAGUACAGAAGAGGAAAGCGGAAUUCCACGUGUAGCGGUGAAAUGCGUAGAGAUGUGGAGGAACACCAGUGGCGAAGGCGGCUUUCUGGUCUGUAACUGACGCUGAGGCGCGAAAGCGUGGGGAGCAAACAGG